UAUGAAACAUUUUAAAAUCAAAACUGUUAUUUUGGAUAUGAAUACCCUUGACAGAAUUUCAGACUUGUUAGGUACAAUUUCUAUCAUGUCGGAUGACUCAUUAACAGGUUCUAGAAUUUUUUUUAAAGAUAAUGAUUUUCAAUCCUUACUUCACUUGAGGUAAUUUGCAAAUAUUCUCUGGAGGAUUUUUGUUUUGACUUACUGAAAAAUCUGAAAAAGAAACUUUUAAGCAGAAAUUCUUUGAGGCAAAAACUAUUUCCUUCUCAUUUCAUCAAGUGAGUUGAUUGUGGAUUCUUGUAUAUAAGGAAAAACUAAAGACAGACAUAAGUCAUCUCGAGGGCACACUUCUGAGAUCAGAACCCCGGAACAUUCCAGAAUGUGGGUAGAAGAAAUGCAAUCAGGAAGAAGUCAGGCAAGGAUCUAGGUUUUUCCAAGUGUCUAAUGAACUAGUCCCGUGGUCACCUCUAGGGACUUCUGAUUCACCCUAAGGUCACCUCUUGGUGGUCACAAGAAGUAGGGGUCAGGGAACUGCACCUGCUCGCUGUGAAGGAGGGGAAAAUGUUUUUGUGAUGGGGGGGGGGAUCUUUGUUGCUGUUGUUUUUCUUCAGUGACCCGGAAUGAAGAGGUAAGUACUUGCUCUCGAGGAGAGCCACCAACUAGCGUUGCUCAGCGCACAGGAUGCCUUCCCAACCAGCGAUUUUCACUUCUGAAAUAAUCAAAUACGAAGCUGACUGGAGAAGUCCAUUUUCCUAGCCCACGAGUAAAGGUCGAUAAAAGGAUCCCUCUUCUCUUCAUUGAUGCUGCACCCCAAACAGGCAGCGUCGAGUUACCUGAUAGGGCCCUGAUAGGUGCCAGGUCCCGUGUGUCAGAGCGUCAGCCGCACAGACUUUCAAGGCCCUGCCGUGGUGGGAACAGGUGCUUCCAUGGGGAAAGUCAAGGGGAACGAUGAUCCCACAAAGCCUGACACGUGACUCGAGAUUCCGGUGUUUACUCACCUGGAGACAGAUAGGAAUCCUUCUGUGGCUAAUUCUUGGCAGCCGAGGAUUUUUCUAGCAGCGCCAGAGCUGCAGAAUUUUUAUCUGCGAUUUCCCACGGGCCUGUAACAGUGUCUGCCAUGUUAACUGGAACGGCUCUUUCAUGGGAAGGAACAGCCCUGUAAGAACGUAACGCUUGACAAGGGACUGCUCUCCCACCGACUAGAAGACCGUGCUUCUCUCUGAAGUACCCAGAAUGCACGUCACCGUGCGCUUCACACCACCAGGUGCGCUUCUCGCCACCAGGGUGUUCGGUGCACUGCUCUUCUGUGGAUGUGUUUUCCGGCGCAGGCCGAGCACUCCUCGAGACCAGGAACUGCGUGGCGUGCAAUGUCCCCAGCCAGUGGCUUGUAGUAUCCCUGUUGCAGCACAUGACCAAGUACUUCCAGCCUGUGUGAGAAGCACUGUAGGAAGUGGAGGCUUGCUUGUGUGUGGAGACUGAACGUGCGAAGGGUAUCAUUGCCCCCUCUCGUGAGGCUUUUCUGACUUCCCUUCCCACUGAGCUGAAAACAGCCUCGUGUCUGAAGGGGAGAAAAGGCAAGAGAGAACUUGAUGGAAAGGAAAAGGCAAGCCACCCAGAGCCUCCUGGAGGGAGAUCAGAUCAACCUCCUUGGCCCGGAUGUCACAGGUAGGAGAUGGAGGGAUGGAGACCUUUGGCAAAGGAGAAGAAGCCUAGGCUUGGAAGAGAGACGUUCUGGGCCACCGCUCUCUGGAGAAAUGUGAUGAAGGCAGAGAUGACGGUGGGUACACGUGAGUGCUGGUGAUUAUGCCUCACUUCAGACUUCUGGUGUAUGCUCAUUAUGAGCUUGACCAUGUGCCCCCAAAACUCAAAAGACAUACAAUUAACAUUCACAGCCCAGUGAAGACGGAGGCCCAAAGGACCCACUGCAAUGAGCUGUCUGUAGAGGGGAAGCCAGUGUCAGCUCUGCGUGGGAUCUG